ACAUGUCUAGGAUCAGGUGGUGAUGUAAUCUACACCAUCAACAUGUCUAGGAUCAGGUGAUGUAAUCUAAACCAUCAACAUGUCUAGGAUCAGGUGGUGAUGUAAUCUAAACCAUCAACAUGUAUAGGAUCAGGUGUUGUAAUCUACACCAUCAACAUGUCUAGGAUCAGGUGAUGUUGUAAUCUAAACCAUCAACAUGUCUAGGAUCAGAUGGUGUUGUAAUCUACACCAACAUUUCUAGGAUCAGGUGGUGUUGUAAUCUACACCAUCAACAUGUCUAGGAUCAGGUGUUGUAAUCUACACCAUCAACAUGUCUAGGAUCAGGUGGUGUUGCCAUCAACACGUCUAGGAUCAGGUGAUGUAAUCUAAACCAUCAACAUGUCUAGGAUCAGGUGGUGUUGUAAUCUACGCCAUCAACAUGUCUAGGAUCAGGUGGUGUUGUAAUCUACGCCAUCAACAUGUCUAGGAUCAGGUGGUGUUGCCAUCAACACGUCUAGGAUCAGGUGAUGUAAUCUAAACCAUCAACAUGUCUAGGAUCAGGUGUUGUAAUCUAAACCAUCAACAUGUCUAGGAUCAGGUGAUGUAAUCUACACCAUCAACAUGUCUAGGAUCAGGUGAUGUUGUAAUCUACACCGUCAACAUGUCUAGGAUCAGGUGGUGUUGUAAUCUACACCAUCAACAUGUCUAGGAUCAGGUGAUGUAAUCUAAACCAUCAACAUGUCUAGGAUCAGGUGAUGUAAUCUAAACCAUCAACAUGUCUAGGAUCAGGUGAUGUAAUCUACACCAUCAACAUGUCUAGGAUCAGGUGGUGUUGUAAUCUAAACCAUCAACAUGUCUAGGAUCAGGUGAUGUUGUAAUCUAAACCAUCAACAUGUGUAGGAUCAGGUGAUGUAAAGAACGUCAGAUAAAUGAACUAUACACUUCUUAUUACUCUUCAUCAUCAGCAUCAUCAUGGCAAUAUACAAAGUCUGAGAAAACAUGGCCACAGAAAUACACAACAAUGUCCUCAAUCACAAUGUCACAUUUCUUUGAAGAUUAAAAUGUAACUAAGUCUUCUGGCAAAAAAAA